rnacentral:rRNA from 1 species
GCCCAAGAGAUCGGGAUAACACCUGGAAACAGAUGCUAAUACCGGAUAACAACAGAUGAUGCCUAUCAACUGUUUAAAAGAUGGUUCUGCUAUCACUCUUGGAUGGACCUGCGGUGCAUUAGCUAGUUGGUAGGGUAACGGCCUACCAAGGCGAUGAUGCAUAGCCGAGUUGAGAGACUGAUCGGCCACAUUGGGACUGAGACACGGCCCAAACUCCUACGGGAGGCAGCAG